ACAUAAGAGAUAAAAAAAAUCAAACAAUAACAGUGCUGGAAAUUUAAAGGUGCAAAGAGAAACAUAAAUCGAAACUGAAAUUGGAAAGAACAACUUUUAUUAAGAAAAGGAAAUCAAAAGUACAGAUACCAGAAAUCCCAGAGAGCUCAAAGUCUAUCACCCAUUGAUCAUCCCCAAGAAUUCCAGUGCAAGAAUCAAAGUACCUACUUCUACGAAAGCAGUAAAAUUCUAAAACUACAAGCAGAGA
rnacentral:lncRNA from 1 species